UACGGAGGGUGCAAGCGUUACUCGGAAUCACUGGGCGUAAAGAGCGCGUAGGCGGGGUGAUAAGUCAGGUGUGAAAUCCUGUAGCUUAACUACAGAAUUGCACUUGAAACUGUUACUCUAGAGUGUGGGAGAGGUAGGUGGAAUUCUUGGUGUAGGGGUAAAAUCCGUAGAGAUCAAGAGGAAUACUCAUUGCGAAGGCGACCUGCUAGAACAUUACUGACGCUGAUGCGCGAAAGCGUGGGGAGCAAACAGG
rnacentral:rRNA from 1 species